AUUGAACGCUGGCGGAAUGCUUUACACAUGCAAGUCGAACGGCAGCACGGGGGCAGCCCUGGUGGCGCGUGGCGAACGGGUGAGUAAUACAUCGGAACGUGCCCGGUCGUGGGGGAUAACGUCGCGAAAGUUACGCUAAUACCGCAUACGAUCUGAGGAUGAAAGCGGGGGACCUUCGGGCCUCGCGCGAUCGGAGCGGCCGAUGUCAGAUUAGGUAGUUGGUGGGGUAAUGGCCUACCAAGCCGACGAUCUGUAGCUGGUCUGAGAGGACGACCAGCCACACGGGGACGGAGACACGGCCCAGACUCCUACGGGAGGCAGCAGUGGGGAACUUUGGACAAUGGGCGCAAGCCUGAUCCAGCCAUUCCGCGUGCAGGACGAAGGCGUUCGGGUUGUAAACUGCUUUUGUACGGAGCGAAAAGGCUCUGGCUAAUACCUGAGGCUCAUGACGGUACCGGAAGAAUAAGCACCGGCUAACUACGUG
rnacentral:rRNA from 1 species